AUCCAGCUGACGAGUCCCGAAUAGGACGAAAUGCGCGUCCUGGAU
rfam:Schistosoma mansoni, Puerto Rico, WGS project CABG01000000 data, contig: 0062